UCUUUAUCUGGGCAUCCAAGUACAAGCGUUUUCGCUCGUGGCUAUUUCACACUGUAAUCCUUGACAUGCUCAUUAAAGAUAAUGGGCUUGAAUUGUAUUGGCAAGUUCUCAAUGAUAUAAAAAAAUGUGAUCUUUCGAUAUCCGCUGCUGCAUUUACAGUGUUGAUUCAAGCAUAUGCGAAGACGCUUGUACUUGGAUGCCCAGAUAAAGA
rnacentral:misc_RNA from 1 species